rnacentral:rRNA from 1 species
GUCGAACGGAACUGUUUUGAAAGAUUUCUUCGGAAUGAAUUUGAUUUAGUUUAGUGGCGGACGGGUGAGUAACGCGUGAGUAACCUGCCUUCAAGAGGGGGAUAACAUUCUGAAAAGAAUGCUAAUACCGCAUGACAUAUCGGAAUCACAUGGUUUUGAUAUCAAAGAUUUUAUCGCUUGAAGAUGGACUCGCGUCCGAUUAGUUAGUUGGUGAGGUAACGGCUCACCAAGACCGCGAUCGGUAGCCGGACUGAGAGGUUGAACGGCCACAUUGGGACUGAGACACGGCCCAGACUCCUACGGGAGGCAGCAGUGGGGGAUAUUGCGCAAUGGGGGCAACCCUGACGCAGCAACGCCGCGUGAAGGAUGAAGGUUUUCGGAUUGUAAACUUCUUUUAUUAAGGACGAAAAAUGACGGUACUUAAUGAAUAAGCUCCGGCUAACUACGUGCCAGCAGCCGCGGUAAUACGUAGGGAGCAAGCGUUGUCCGGAUUUACUGGGUGUAAAGGGUGCGUAGGCGGCUUUGCAAGUCAGAUGUGAAAUCUAUGGGCUCAACCCAUAAACUGCAUUUGAAACUGUAGAGCUUGAGUGAAGUAGAGGCAGGCGGAAUUCCCCGUGUAGCGGUGAAAUGCGUAGAGAUGG